AGAGCGAACGCUGGCGGCGUGCUUAACACAUGCAAGUCGAACGCGCAGCAUUCUGUAGCAAUACAGGGUGUGGGCGCGUGGCGAACGGGUGCGUAACACGUGGAUAACCUUCCUUCAGGUGGGGAAUAACCCAGUGAAAAUUGGGCUAAUACCGCAUAACAAAACGAUGAGACAUCUUGUUGUUUUCAAAGGCGCAAGUCGCCAGAAGAGGGAUCCGCGGCCGAUUAGCUUGUUGGCGAGGUAAUGGCUCACCAAGGCAAUGAUCGGUAGCCGGACUGAGAGGUUGGCCGGCCACACUGGAACUGAGACACGGUCCAGACUCCUACGGGAGGCAGCAGUGGGGAAUCUUGCACAAUGGGCGAAAGCCUGAUGCAGCAACGCCGCGUGGGGAUGAAGCUUCUCGGAGUGUAAACCCUUUCGACCCGGAAGAAGCCCGCAAGGAUUUGACGGUACGGGUAUAAGAAGCCCGGCUAACUACGUGCCAGCAGCCGCGGUAAUC
rnacentral:rRNA from 1 species